GCAUAUCAAUAAGCGGAGGAAAAGAAACCAACAGGGAUUGCCCCAGUAACGGCGAGUGAAGCGGCAACAGCUCAAAUUUGAAAUCUGGCCCUAGGCCCGAGUUGUAAUUUGCAGAGGAUGCUUUUGGCGCGGUGCCUUCCGAGUUCCCUGGAACGGGACGCCAUAGAGGGUGAGAGCCCCGUACGGUUGGACACCAAGUCUUUGUAAAGCUCCUUCGACGAGUCGAGUAGUUUGGGAAUGCUGCUCAAAAUGGGAGGUAUAUUUCUUCUAAAGCUAAAUAUUGGCCAGAGACCGAUAGCGCACAAGUAGAGUGAUCGAAAGAUGAAAAGCACUUUGAAAAGAGGGUUAAACAGCACGUGAAAUUGUUAAAAGGGAAGCGCUUGUGACCAGACUUGCGUCCGGUGAAUCACCCAGCUCUCGCGGCUGGGGCAUUUUGCCGGCUCAGGCCAGCAUCAGCUUGCCGUCGGGGACAAAAGCUUCGGGAACGUAGCUCUCUUCGGGGAGUGUUAUAGCCCGUUGCAUAAUACCCUUCGGUGGGCUGAGGUACGCGCUCCGCAAGGAUGCUGGCGUAAUGGUCAUCAGCGACCCGUCUUGAAACACGGACCAAGGAGUCAACCUUAUGUGCGAGUGUUUGGGUGUUAAACCCCUACGCGUAAUGAAAGUGAACGCAGGUGAGAGCUUCGGCGCAUCAUCGACCGAUCCUGAUGUUCUCGGAUGGAUUUGAGUAAGAGCAUAUAGGGUUGGACCCGAAAGAAGGUGAACUAUGCGUGUAUAGGGUGAAGCCAGAGGAAACUCUGGUGGAGGCUCGCAGCGGUUCUGACGUGCAAAUCGAUCGUCAAAUAUGCGCAUGGGGGGCGAAAGACUAAUCGAACCUUCUAGUAGCUGGUUUCC
rnacentral:rRNA from 1 species